rnacentral:rRNA from 1 species
AACGCUGGCGGCGUGCCUAAUACAUGCAAGUCGAGCGAACGGAUAAGGAGCUUGCUCCUUUGAAGUUAGCGGCGGACGGGUGAGUAACACGUGGGUAACCUACCUAUAAGACUGGAAUAACUUCGGGAAACCGGAGCUAAUGCCGGAUAACAUUUGGAACCGCAUGGUUCUAAAGUAAAAGAUGGUUUUGCUAUCACUUAUAGAUGGACCCGCGCCGUAUUAGCUAGUUGGUAAGGUAACGGCUUACCAAGGCAACGAUACGUAGCCGACCUGAGAGGGUGAUCGGCCACACUGGAACUGAGACACGGUCCAGACUCCUACGGGAGGCAGCAGUAGGGAAUCUUCCGCAAUGGACGAAAGUCUGACGGAGCAACGCCGCGUGAGUGAUGAAGGUUUUCGGAUCGUAAAACUCUGUUAUUAGGGAAGAACAAAUGUGUAAGUAACUGUGCACAUCUUGACGGUACCUAAUCAGAAAGCCACGGCUAACUACGUGCCAGCAGCCGCGGUAAUACGUAGGUGGCAAGCGUUAUCCGGAAUUAUUGGGCGUAAAGCGCGCGUAGGCGGUUUCUUAAGUCUGAUGUGAAAGCCCACGGCUCAACCGUGGAGGGUCAUUGGAAACUGGGAAACUUGAGUACAGAAGAGGAAAGUGGAAUUCCAUGUGUAGCGGUGAAAUGCGCAGAGAUAUGGAGGAACACCAGUGGCGAAGGCGACUUUCUGGUCUGUAACUGACGCUGAUGUGCGAAAGCGUGGGGAUCAAACAGGAUUAGAUACCCUGGUAGUCCACGCCGUAAACGAUGAGUGCUAAGUGUUAGGGGGUUUCCGCCCCUUAGUGCUGCAGCUAACGCAUUAAGCACUCCGCCUGGGGAGUACGACC